ACAAGCAGGCAAAGCCGAGGCAAGGCCGCACGUCUCAGCCUUCAGAGGAGGAGGGACAGGAAGGCCUCCUGAACGCACCCCUGGGUGCGGUAGAGCCAAGGUCGACGACGUCAUGCUGAGGCGACUCGGACGCUGAAACGUCACUAGGCGAUUUUUCCAAAGACACCGGCGCCUCGUGCUCAGUGACGUAGCUGUGCGGCUGGUCUACAGAGCUUUGCCAGUCCUUGGAACUUUCUUCGCUCUCCGUUCGGUGGAUCGAAUCACGUGCUCCUGGGACUGGGGGUCCUAAGCAAUCCUGCCACAUCUCCCGGAUGGGGGUUCCGCACACCAUCUCUGGGAGGCAGACCUGUGCGUAACAGGAUUCCAGGUCCAGUUGCAGUUCAGUGCCGUCCAGUGAAAACAUGGGCACUAGGAGUGUGAAGCCGGCAUCGUAGUGAGGUCCCCGGGCGUAGGGACCCAGGGGUGCAUGCCCCAGAUCCAGGGAGCCCUCGCGAAUCCCACCACGAAGCAGCAAGAGCUCUGCCUGGGGAGGAAAGCGAGGGUCCCGGCGGUGAACUAGACCUAAAAAAAGGGAACGGAUCGUGAGGGCGUCGCCCAAAGCCGGGGCGGGGGCGGGGGCGUGGUGAGGCUGAGAGCUGUGAGUUCCCAAAGGCAAGUAGGGUUACUUACCAAGCAAAGAGAAGACAAAGUCCUUGGCCCGGAGGAGAUCGGCUCCCGGCUUGGGCCCGUCACUCCAGCUCUCCUGCAC
rnacentral:lncRNA from 1 species